rnacentral:rRNA from 1 species
CCUACGGGAGGCAGCAGUGGGGAAUAUUGCGCAAUGGGGGAAACCCUGACGCAGCGACGCCGCGUGAGUGAUGAAGGCCCUCGGGUCGUAAAGCUCUGUCGGAAGGGAAGAACGCUUGUCGGUCAAAUAGACCGAUAGGCUGACGGUACCUUCAAAGGAAGCACCGGCUAACUCCGUGCCAGCAGCCGCGGUAAUACGGAGGGUGCAAGCGUUGCUCGGAAUCACUGGGCGUAAAGAGCGUGUAGGCGGUUUUGUAUGUCUGACGUGAAAGCCCCGGGCUUACCCUGGGAACUGCGUUGGAAACUGCAGAACUAGAGUCUCGGAGAGGGAGGUGGAAUUCCAGGUGUAGCGGUGAAAUGCGUAGAUAUCUGGAAGAACACCGGUGGCGAAGGCGACCUCCUGGACGAUGACUGACGCUGAGACGCGAAAGCGUGGGGAGCAAACAGGAUUAGAUACCCUGGUAGUCCAUGCCGUAAACGUUGGGCACUAGGUGUGGGACCUACUUAACGGGUUCCGUGCCGUAGCUAACGCAUUAAGUGCCCCGCCUGGGGAGUACGGCCGCAAGGCUAAAACUCAAAGGAAUUGACGG